GUGGUUUUGGCUGGGAUCCCCAAGAACUACGAGAUCACCACAGAUUUUGAUUUAUCAAAGAGACAGCGGAGUAUGGAAUAGGCGAUGUACUCUGUAAAGGAAAGCUCAACCUUGCCUUUAUGGUUCGUAGCACCACGCCUCUUUCCCUGCCAUUGAUCCGAGGCUCGUGUACAUCUUUCUAUUCAACUGUUGCACAUAACACUAUCACUAGUCGAG
rnacentral:misc_RNA from 1 species